rnacentral:rRNA from 1 species
GUCGUAAGUGCGAUUGAUUUAGCGGCCGCCGUUCGAUCUUGUGCCAGCCGCCGCGAUGAUUCCAGCUCCAAUAGCGUAUAUUAAAGUUGUUGCGGUUAAAAAGCUCGCAGGUGAACCUUGGACCUGGUUGGCCGGUCCGUUUCACCGCGUGCACCGUCCCGGCCGGGCCUUUCCCUCUGUGGAACCCCAUACCCUUCACUGGGCGUGCUGUCCAAACAGGACAUUUACUUUGAAAAAAUUAGAGUGCUCCAGGAAGGCCUAUGCCCAAAUACUUUAUCAUGGAAUAAUAAAAUAAGACGCGCGCUUCCAUUUUGUUGCUUUAUUUUACCGACGAAAUGAUUAGUAUCGACAGUCCGCGGCAUCAGGAUUCAACUGUUCGAGGUGAAAUUCUUGGAUCAGUUGAAGACUAACUACUGCGAAAGCAUUUGCCAAGGAUGUUUUCAUUAAUCAGGAACGAAAGUUAGGGGAUCGAAGACGAUCAGAUACCGUCGUAGUCUUAACCAUAAACUAUGCCGACUAGGGAUCGGACGGGGUUAUUCACGACCCGUUCGGCACCUUACGAGAAAUCAAAGUGCUUGGGCUUCUCUGAGAAGAAAAAAAAAAGGCUGAAACUUAAAGGAAUUGACGGGAGGGCACCACCCAGGGGGUGGAGCCUGCUGGCUUUUAUUUUGACUCAACAACGGGGGAAACUCCACCCAGCGUCCCACGACACCAAUGAGGAAUUGACAGAAUUGAGGAGCUCUUUUCUUUGAUUUUUUGUUGGGUUGGUGGUGGCAUGGCCACGUUCUUAAGUGGUGGGGGGUGACUUGGUCUUGCCUUAAUUAGCGAAUAACGAAGAGAACAUUAAUCCUGCUAAAAUAUGCCCCGCAAUUGCCUCCGGGCCAGGUGCGGGCUGGGCUUUCUUAAAGGGGGA